rnacentral:rRNA from 1 species
UACGGAGGGUGCAAGCGUUAUCCGGAUUCACUGGGUUUAAAGGGUGCGUAGGCGGGUUGGUAAGUCAGUGGUGAAAUCUUCAAGCUUAACUUGGAAACUGCCGUUGAUACUAUCAAUCUUGAAUACUGUGGAGGUCAGCGGAAUAUGUCAUGUAGCGGUGAAAUGCUUAGAUAUGACAUAGAACACCAAUUGCGAAGGCAGCUGGCUACACAAAUAUUGACACUGAGGCACGAAAGCGUGGGGAUCAAACAGG